AUAUUCAUUUUUUAAAUAAACAGGCACUAAUAUGCCAUUGCAUAAUACUUGAAACACUGUCACAUUGUUUUAUUGCAGUGGAUUUUUGACAACCACACCUGAUUUAACAGGACAUUUUAAGGCAGCUCACUAGAUUUCAGAACAGAGCUAGCAUGUUGUCAUAGUGCCGCCUAGUCAAUUAGCAAAAUUGUUUUAAGGGAGUGUUUAGGAAUUGUUUUGCUACUCGUUUUCGCAACUAGCUCCUGCUCAGGACCAGCUCAUAACCAGCUUUUAACCAGCUCAUGACCAACUAAGGACAAGCUUAAACCAGCUCAAACCAGCCGUGCUUCAAAACAUACCUAACCAGCAUAUCCUGUUUUUUUGUUUUUUUCAACCAGGGUGACCCAGCCCCCCGUCCUCAUCAGCACUUGCUUUCUUUGGGCUUGGCAGCUAAUCAGUUGCAGGUGGGCCUGGAGCCCCUCUUGGGUGCUCUGAGGUGGUAGAGCGCGCUCCCUGAGUGUCCCCUCACCUUAACCCAACCCUGCUAAUCAAUCCACUGCUGAGAGCACAUGAGACACGACAUCCUUCUCAUAGAUCCACUCGCUGUGUCUGUGUACCUCAAAUCAGCAGAGCAGCAGAACGGUGGAAUCUGUUGAACUGUGGACAUGCUGAUCUGAGGGAAGACAAAGAGAGACACAUGAACGGACAGAUAGAAAGAAAGGAAGCCAAGGAGGAAAAACCACCAGAAGUUGAGGCAGCAGCAGCAGAAGCAGAAGCAGCACGAGAAACAUCAGGAAGGCUUGAAGCAGACGUAUAAUAAGACGACCUCGCAAGGCAUAACACAUGCAGGCGUAUUUGUUUUCUUGCUUCAUUCUGUCAAACCUUUCCUGCUCCGUGGGCAAGAACCUCCAGCAAAUCCACCCUGGGCCCCCUCUAUUGCUCAUUAGCAAGAAAAUUAAGAGAUGUUUAUUUACACACUAAAAGGGUGAGUGGGUAAACAGGGGGGCUUAUUUAUGAAUUUCCCCUUAACGUUGAGUGCACUUGACAAGUUGGAUAAGAAGUAACUGAUGUGAGUAUUCAGGCUGUGUUUGAAGUCUGCACGGGGAUGUCUGCCGAGGGUUGAGGUGCCACGUGGCUGCAGGGUGAUGGAAGUAAAGUAACGUUUCCAGUGACGCGAAGGCAGGGGGCUCAAGAUAGGCCCAUCCUUAGGAGACCCAUAAUCGCCUACGAUCCUGUACCGUUUUACCCAGGAGAUGAAUCCACCUCUGGAUUUCUGUUUCGUUUUCUACGCCCACAUUGUCUUGAGUGGAAGCUUUUUGAUAGAUCUGGCAUCUUUUGAAUAAUACAUGCUCUGGAUAACGACUAGCACAAAGACCCAUUCAAGUAUUGUUGAUAUGACUGUCUCGCUCUCAUCUUUUGCUAAUUGCCAGUAGCUGCGUCUUACAGCACGGGUGCUGAUGAGAUGAGAGAAGAAACGUUAUAGAUUUACUCUACGUUAUUGCUGGGUGAGUGAGGGUUACUGAGUAAAGGUGUGAAAGGAGGAAGAGAAGGAGCAAUAAAACUUGCCAGGGUGGAGAAAGUUUACA
ensembl:lncRNA